AAUCUAAGUAUUCAAUAAUGAUUUUAAAUUGCAAAUUUAAAGGUAAGAUUAACUUUUU
rnacentral:tRNA from 1 species